rnacentral:rRNA from 1 species
UACGUAGGGUGCAAGCGUUACUCGGAAUUACUGGGCGUAAAGGGUGCGUAGGCGGUCGUUUAAGUCCGUUGUGAAAUCCCUGGGCUCAACCUGGGAAUGGCAGUGGAUACUGGACGGUUAGAAUGCGGUAGAGGGUAGUGGAAUUCCCGGUGUAGCAGUGAAAUGCGUAGAGAUCGGGAGGAACACCAGUGGCGAAGGCGGCUACCUGGACCAGCAUUGACACUCAAGCACGAAAGCGUGGGGAGCAAACAGG